UGCAAGUCGAGCGGCAGCACGGGGAGCUUGCUCCCUGGUGGCGAGCGGCGGACGGGUGAGUAAUGCAUAGGAAUCUGCCCGGUAGUGGGGGAUAACCUGGGGAAACCCAGGCUAAUACCGCAUACGUCCUACGGGAGAAAGCAGGGGAUCUUCGGACCUUGCGCUAUCGGAUGAGCCUAUGUCGGAUUAGCUGGUUGGUGAGGUAAUGGCUCACCAAGGCGACGAUCCGUAGCUGGUCUGAGAGGAUGAUCAGCCACACUGGGACUGAGACACGGCCCAGACUCCUACGGGAGGCAGCAGUGGGGAAUAUUGGACAAUGGGCGCAAGCCUGAUCCAGCCAUGCCGCGUGUGUGAAGAAGGCCCUCGGGUUGUAAAGCACUUUCAGCGAGGAAGAAGGCUUGGCGGUCAAUACCCGUCAAGAAGGACAUCACUCGCAGAAGAAGCACCGGCUAACUCCGUGCCAGCAGCCGCGGUAAUACGGAGGGUGCGAGCGUUAAUCGGAAUUACUGGGCGUAAAGCGCGCGUAGGUGGUUUGGCACGCCGGUUGUGAAAGCCCCGGGCUCAACCUGGGAACGGCAUCCGGAACGGCCAGACUAGAGUGCAGGAGAGGAAGGUAGAAUUCCCGGUGUAGCGGUGAAAUGCGUAGAGAUCGGGAGGAAUACCAGUGGCGAAGGCGGCCUUCUGGCCUGACACUGACACUGAGGUGCGAAAGCGUGGGUAGCAAACAGGAUUAGAUACCCUGGUAGUCCACGCCGUAAACGAUGUCGACUAGCCGUUGGGACCUUUAAGGACUUAGUGGCGCAGUUAACGCGAUAAGUCGACCGCCUGGGGAGUACGGCCGCAAGGUUAAAACUCAAAUGAAUUGACGGGGGCCCGCACAAGCGGUGGAGCAUGUGGUUUAAUUCGAUGCAACGCGAAGAACCUUACCUACCCUUGACAUCCAGAGAACUUGG
rnacentral:rRNA from 1 species